rnacentral:rRNA from 1 species
UACAUAGGGUGCAAGCGUUAAUCGGAAUUACUGGGCGUAAAGCGUGCGCAGGCGGUUAUAUAAGACAGAUGUGAAAUCCCCGGGCUCAACCUGGGAACUGCGUUUGUGACUGCGAGGCUAGAGUACGGCAGAGGGGGGUAGAAUUCCUCGUGUAGCAGUGAAAUGCGUAGAGAUGUGGAGGAAUACCGAUGGCGAAGGCAGCCCCCUGGUUAGUACUGACGCUCAUGCACGAAAGCGU